UACGAAGGUCCCGAGCGUUGUUCGGAUUUACUGGGCGUAAAGCGUCUGUAGGCGGCGCGGCAAGUCAGAUGUGAAAUCCCGGAGCUCAACUCCGGAACUGCAUCCGAUACUGCCGUGCUAGAGUGUUGGAGGGGAGUCUGGAAUUCUCGGUGUAGCAGUGAAAUGCGUAGAUAUCGAGAGGAACACUAGUGGCGAAGGCGAGACUCUGGACAACAACUGACGCUGAGAGACGAAGGCCAGGGUAGCGAAAAGG
rnacentral:misc_RNA from 1 species